rnacentral:rRNA from 1 species
AUUGAACGCUGGCGGUAGGCCUAACACAUGCAAGUCGAACGAGUGGCGGACGGGUGAGUAAUAUAUGGGGAUCUACUCUAUAGUGGGGGAUAACUACUGGAAACUUACGCUAAUACCGCAUACUAUUGGAUGAACCGAUAUCGGAUUAGCUAGUUGGCGGGGUAAAGGCUCACCAAGGCGACGAUCCGUAGCUGGUCUGAGAGGAUGAUCAGCCACACUGGAACUGAGACACGGUCCAGACUCCUACGGGAGGCAGCAGUGGGGAAUAUUGGACAAUGGGCGCAAGCCUGAUCCAGCCAUACCGCGUGUAUGAAGAAGGCCUUCGGGUUGUAAAGCACUUUCGGCGGGGAAGCGGUACCCAAAGAAUAAGCACCGGCUAACUUCGUGCCAGCAGCCGCGGUAAUAC